rnacentral:lncRNA from 1 species
GUCUAACAGUACACAAUGGAGAUAUAUAGCCUCAGUGUUUGCAUUUGGUAUUUCAUUCUAGCAUUUGGUAAGCACACUUGUCAUAUAACUCAUGCUAUAAAGUCUCCCUUUCGAAAAUUAAACGGUCGUCAUCACAUGUUGAUUGACGAUCAUGGAGUAUGUACGUUAAACAGAUGACGACAUACAGUUCCAAAUGACACCAAAGUCCAGGCCUUUUUUUUUUCUGAAAUAUGACCUUCGAAAUUAGACAGUUUGUACUUACAGCAGCAACAAGACGAAUUCAAAAUGUAAAGCAGGAUCUUCAUAUUUUCCAAAAACACUUAAAUUAACAAAUUUCAUGGAACUAUGUACCUUUGUAAGUAGCGUAGCAAUAUUUAAAAUUAUUUGAAAAUGUAGAACAUAAAGUAUAUGGCUGUAAUGAUACAACAAAGAAAUGUUAUGGGUAUUGAUUUAAUGUUCCAUGCCGAUCUUAAAUAUUCAUUUUUAUAGACUUUUCAAUUUUCAAUACUUUCUAAACAUUGUAUUUUACAUGUAUAUAGCUAGUAAUAUAUUCAAGGAUACAAAUCAUAUGUGUUAAAUGCUAGCAUGACACAAUAAAUAAUAUUUUUCGGAUUUGAUAGGAUAUACUAACGGAGAGUGUCCAUUGGGCUGGAUUCAUUUUGGCGAAUCAUGCUACCUGUUCAGUACCGAGCAUCUAAAUUGGUAUUUUGCACAGGUAUGAGAUUUUUUGGCGAAUACAAGCGGAUUUUCAAUAUACAUCAGGGCUUAUAUUUGUCAAUGCGUCCAUAUCAGCAGAUGUAGAUAAACUGUAUAUUGUGAGAUAAUAGUGUCGGUUUGGAGAAUAAACAUGUAUUAACACAUUUGGCGAAACCCACACAAUAAUAAAAACAUAGAUACUAACAAAUUCGAGGAAUUUUAUUAAAUAUAAUCUAUUUCUUUAUUACAUGUUGUAGUGGUGUUUAAAUAGUUUGAAAAAAAAAACGUUGUAAUCGUACAGGAAAUUCAAUAAAUAGAUAUGAAAUCUUUGAAAAAAUACAUAAGAUAAGUGGCUUUACUACCAUGCAAUCGCAUAUGCGUGCUUGUUUUAAAUGUGGACAUUGCGUUGAUUUAAUAAUCGAUCAACCAUUAUACUUGAAUAUUAUAUUCACUUCUCCUCCAUUAAGCACGAAGCUAUAAGACGUAACAGAUAAGAAUGCUCGUUUCUGCGUUCGAAACCUGUCCAUACAUUGUAUAUGUUGAUAUGUAUUUUGCGGAAUAAUCGUGUGAAAUUGAUGGUUCAAACUUUAUUAAGUGUUUCCUUUAAAUUUGAAUCACAAUCCAUAGUAAAAUUAAAAUAGUUGGUUAAAAUAAGUACUAACAUGGCCCAUAUUUAUGAAUUAACUUUGGAAUAAUGAUGCAUUGACCAAUUUCGUAAUGGAUUAUGGAUAAAUGAAUGACUACAUAGGAAAUGUGUCUUUCUCAUAACGCAUGAACGUGUUUCCUAGAUCCUGGAUUUCAGUGUUCAAUCGAAAUGUUGAUUUUAUAAAUUAUUUCAUUUAGAGAAAUGAAAUUGAUCCAUUUAAAAGACAAACAAAUAUUUUAUUAAGAUAGAAUAAAAAAGCGUUGGAGGGCUUAUCAUGAAUCAACUCUUAUCAAUUGUAUCUAUAACUUAAACUAUUUGCAUUACUAUCUUUAAAAAAAUUAAAGCCUAUUAGCAAUUGGAAGGUAUUGUAGGUGAGUUUAGACAACCAUGUUAUCGUUUCCAACAAUGUUUUGAUAAAUAUCAGAUUACCAUUAAAUGGUUGAAAAAAUAUAUUUGGACACGUCUGAUUCGUGUAACACUUAUCAAUUUACAAUUUUAAAAUGUUUACAUGGAUUUUUUUUUAUCAAAGUCUUAAGAUAUUAACUUUCCAAAUCUUUAUUUAUUUUUCAAAUGUUUAUAUUUCAGCCAAUAAUUAAAAUUUCAAAAUUUUAAACUUUGCUUUAAAAUUGAAUAGUUUGGAUAUUUAAGCAAAUUUUCAAAAACUAAACAGUUCUGAUCAUUUCGCUUUUUAUAAAUUGAUUAUUUAGACUUUUGAUAAAAAUCCAGGAAAGAGGGACAGGACAUUAACAUAGAAACAAGUGCGAAAUAGAAUAAGAAUGAAAGGACACAAAAUGAAAUUUACCAAAAUAAAUCAAAACGAAAACAAUGUUAUCUUAAAAGAGGGACGAAAGAUACCGAAGGGACAGUCAAACACAUAAAUCUAAAACAAACUGACAACGCCAUGGCUAAAAAUUAAAAAAAAAGACAAACAAUCAACAGCACACAUGACAAAACAUAGAAAACUAAAGAAUAAACAACACGAACUCCACCAAAAAACUACUGAAUUUGAUAUAAAGCAAGAGGUUAACUUUUUUGAACUACAUCUUGAAAAUGAAAAACAUGUCUCUUUAAGUCGAAAGUUAAUUAGUAGAUUUGAUUUUAACACACUUUGAUUCUCUAAAAUGAAUAGAUAUGUUAAUCAUCGUUUUAACCUGUUUAGGAUGAUGUGUUUGUGGGUAUAUCAAUAUAUUUACAAAACAAAAUGAAGUAAUAAAUUGUUAUCAUUUUAUUUUUAAAUAUUUGAAAUAGCUAAUAAUAAUCUAAAAAUAACACAUAUUGAUUUAUAUUUAUAUAUAUAUAUAUAUAUAUGUAUAGUAGACAUCUAUAGUGUUAUCUCGCCGCGAUGUAGCCUUGUUGUGCUAAUGCGGCGUAAAGCAACCAACAAUCUAAAGUGUUAUCCAUUGGAAGCCGACAUGUUUCGUCGAUAUUUUCAGGUUCCAUUAACAGAUUCCAUUAACGAGUUCGAUCGCCAGUGAUAGCAGAUAGAAAUUACAAAAUCUUAAGGUCAUUUUUUCAAAUUAGUUCAAUUAGUGGACACAAAUCAGGAAAUGUGCUUUUUCAAACUGAUUCAAAUUACGCACUCAAAAGAAAUAAUUGAAUAUAAUUUGGUGAGUCCAUUCCAGCGACGGAUCAAGCAAGCUUUGACUAUAGAAAAAGAAUUCAUGGCAAAUUAAUAGGCUGACAUCUCGACAAUGGUUUAAAGUAUAUACUAUGUACACGUCUGUAUUUUAUUUCUCAUGUUAGACUUAAAACGUUAUUGAUGCAUUGCGAAUCACCGCAGUUCACAUGCACGUUAAAAACGCAUACAAUUUCACCUUUUUUUUUUUAUUUCGGUAGGGUUCAUGCCGAGGACACGAUGCAAGACUUGCUGAAGUUACGACAAAGGCACAGGCAGAUUUUCUGACAGAUUUAGCAUUACGUUUCAAUAGAA